AUGACAUUGACGCCCCGCUCCACUCGCCUGGCACCCUUCCAAUCCGUCUUCUCCUCCCCCUCCCCUGCCGCUACUCCUGUCGCCGUCACUCCCCGCCGCUCCAACUCGCACCCCGCUGCCCGCCUCCACCUCCGCCUCCGCCUCCGCUGCUGCUGCUCCGCCAGCGAUCCGGCGCCGAUGGUGAAGGCCAUCAGGGUCCACGAGCUCGGCGGCCCCGAGGCGCUGCGGUGGGAGGAUGUGGAGGUGGGCGAGCCCGGGGACGGCGAGAUCCGGAUCCGGAACACCGCCAUCGGCGUCAACUUCAUCGACGUCUACUUCCGCAAGGGCGUCUACCCCGCUCCCCUCCCCUUCACCCCCGGCAUGGAAGCUGUUGGCGUGGUGACUGCCGUGGGGCCCGGACUGACCGGCAGGAAAGUCGGGGAUGUUGUCGCGUACGCAGGCAAGCCUAUGGGCUCUUAUGCUGAAGAGCAGAUUAUUCCAGCCGAUGUUGCUGUUCCUGUCCCACCUUCAGUAAAUCACAAGACAGCGGCUGCCAUCAUGCUCAAGGGGAUGACUGUUCAUAUGCUAGUUCGCCGCAUAUUUAAGGUUGAGACCGGCCAUACCGUUCUCGUCCACGCUGCUGCUGGUGGAGUUGGAUCACUCCUUUGUCAAUGGGCAAACGCCCUUGGUGCCACUGUCAUUGGAACUGUUUCAAAUGAAGAGAAAGCCACACACGCACAUUUUGAUGGAUGUCACCAUAUGAUCAUCUACACAAAGGAAGAUGUUGCAACCAGAGUCAAGGAGAUUACAGGUGGAAAAGGUGUAAAUGUGGUCUAUGAUUCUGUUGGAAAGGACACAUACAAGGCAUCCCUGGAGUGCCUGGCGUCCCGCGGUUUCCUGGUGUCGUUCGGGCAGUCCUCAGGCUCGCCUGACCCGAUCUCCAUGGGCGACCUGGCGUCGAAGUCGCUUUUCCUGACGAGGCCGAGCGUGAUGCACUACACGGGCACCCGCGACGAGCUGCUGGAGGCGGCGGGCGAGGUGUUUGCCAACGUGGCCAACGGGGUGCUGCACACCCGCGUGAAGCACACCUACCCGCUGUCCGAGGCGGCCCGCGCCCACGCCGACCUCGAGGCCCGGAAGACCUCGGGGUCCGUACUGCUGAUCCCGUAG
rnacentral:rRNA from 1 species